AGUGAACGCUGGUGGCGUGCCUAACACAUGCAAGUCGAACGAUGAUGGAGGAGCUUGCUCUUCCUGAUUAGUGGCGCACGGGUGAGUAAUGCAUAGAUAAUGUGCCCCUUAGUUCGGGAUAGCCACUGGAAACGGUGAUUAAUACCGGAUACUCCUUCUUAUCAUAAGAUAAGUCGGGAAAGUUUUUCGCUAAGGGAUCAGUCUAUGUUCCAUCAGUUAGUUGGUGAGGUAACGGCUCACCAAGACAAUGACGGAUAUCUGGUUUGAGAGGAUGAUCAGACACACUGGAACUGAGACACGGUCCAGACUCCUACGGGAGGCAGCAGUGAGGAAUAUUGCACAAUGGAGGAAACUCUGAUGCAGCAACGCCGCGUGGAGGAUGACGCAUUUCGGUGUGUAAACUCCUUUUAUUAGGGAAGAUUAUGACGGUACCUAAUGAAUAAGCACCGGCUAACUCCGUGCCAGCCGCCGCGGUAA
rnacentral:rRNA from 1 species